UUUUUUUUUUUUUUUUGUGACAGAAUCUCACCAUAUAGCUAGCUAUAGCUAGCUUAAGAGCUUGUUAUGUAGACCAGACUGGCCUGGCACUCACAGUGAUGCCCCUGCCUCUGCACCUUUGUCCCUGUGCUCCUAUGCCUCCCACAUGCUGGGGUUAAAGGUGUAUGCCAGGCCUGCUUAUGUUGUUUAAAAAGGUUCUUCUUCGUGGGUGGAGGUGCAGCUUAGCUGGGAGAGUGCUAGGCAGGUGCUCUGUGUUGAGCUUUUUCUCUGGGCCCCAAGUGCAUUCUCCGUGCGUGUUGUGUAUGUGUGUGUGUGCACAACAGUGUGCGUGUGUGGAGGCCAGAGACUGGUGUUGGGGUCGAUCUCUGCCAUUCUCCAUCUUAUCGAUUGAUUGAUUAAUUGAUUGAUUGUAAGGAUCUCUCAAUGAUCAUGGAGCUUACCAUUUUGGCUAAGCUGGCUAAGCAGCAAGCCCCUUGGCAUCAGCCUGUUCCCAGCCCUGCCUCGUGCUGGGGUUGAAGCACUGCUGCACCUAGCUUCUUUCACCUUGGUGCUGGGAAUUGGAACUCAGUUCCCCACUUUACCCAAUGAGCUGAUUUCCCUUCUCCCCAUAAAUUACUUUCCCCCACCCCCUGAACUCAUUAUGUAGACCAGGCUGGCCUCCAUUUUUCAGAUCCACUUGCCUUUGCCUCCUGAGUGCUGGUAUUAAAGGCACACACCGCCAUGGUGACUCACAGUGAAUUCUUUCUGUGUUCCUUUGCCUCAGUGCCCUGAUCUGUAAAAUGGGAACUGUCACAACAGUACUUAGCUACAGAGCCAUCAGGAGAAUUACAUGCACUUUGAGGAGGCUGAACAGGGCUGGGCCUGGCCCAUAGCAACUGUUACAUAAGUAUUAGGUUAUUGUUACAGAACACAUGUUUGCCAUUAUGAUGAUGUGGACAAAAGGUUUAGGCUCAGUGCUGGUUUAUAAACCCGGGGAUCCAGGAUGAAUCAAUCAAUAAGAUCCUCAGAUUCAGGCCAAAUCAAUCGAUAAAAUCCACAGACUCACAUGACCAAUCCUUACAGUUAGAAUGGCCCUGGAAUAGAGGCACAGGGCAUUGUGCUGGCUUUUGUUCCAGUGUCUCAGGACGGUCAGCCCUCCCUCAGGGCUUGUAGUGCUCAUGGCCUGCGCACGGUCACGUGAACACUGCACUGUUGACUGCUGAAUCUCGCUCCUGGGGAGCACACAGGGCUGGGUUCCUGUGAGCCUCUGCUCAGAGCAUCUUUAUCAAGUGAUCAAUGCAUACCCUUGUUCUUUGUGUGUUUUUGCUUGUUUAAAAUGUAUUGUGGACUCGUUAGUAAUGAACUCAUGGCCAGUAGUUGUAUAAUCUCCAGAAAAAAGCUAAUUUAUUUUUUUCUGUAAGGCACAUGCUGACAGCUAGGAAUGGAUGAGAUAGGAGGUCAGGUUAAAAACAACAACAACAAAAAAAAAACAAAACAAAACAAAACAAAAAAAACAACCCAAAUCACUUGCUACACAAAUUUGAUGGUGUUCAGUUAAUCCUUAGCAAGGACAGAACCUCUCCCCAAAACACACCCAUGCAUGCAUGAUCAGCAUGCAUGUGCAUGCACACACUUGCACACACUCCUGCACAGAUACGUGCACAUUCAAACACAUGAACAGGAUACACGUUCCUGUACUCACACACCUACACUACACACAUACACACACACAAUAAUAAUAAAUAACAUUUUACGAUUUAUUUUAUGUGUAUGAGCAUUUUGCCUGUAUGUGCCUGCCUGGUGCCCCUAGAGGUUAAGAGAGGGUGUCAGAUCCCUUGCACCUGGAGUUUGCUUCUGAGCCACUAUGUGCGUGCUGGGGACUGAACAGGGUCCCCGGCAAGAGCAGCAAGUGUUCUUAACCACUGAACCAUCUCUCCAGCCAUCAUUAUCAUUUUGCACGUGUGUGUGUGUGUGUGUGUGUGUGUGUGUGCACGCGCGUGUUCGCAUGCUCACACACGCCUAUGUGUAUGGGUGUCAUCAGAGGCCAGAAGAGAGCAUCGGAUCCCCUGGAACUGUAGUGACAGGUGGUUAUGAGCCGAAUGGUAUUGCUGCUAAGAGCUGAGCUCAGGUUCUCCCCAUGAACAAUAAGCUGCUAUCACCUAAGAGCCAUCUCCGCAUCCCUAUUUUAUUGUAUCUUGCUUUCCUUUUCCUGCUUGGUUUUUUGUUUUAGCUUUUGUUUUUGUUUUUUAGUUAUUAUUUCUUUAAAGCUUGUUUAGUUGUUUGAGAUAGUACCUGACUAUGUAGCUUUUGUUGGCCUGGAACUUGCAAUGUAGAGCAGACUGGCCUAGAACUCACAGAGAUCCCCCUGCUUCUGCCUCCCAAGUGCUGGGAUUGAAGGCAUGGGCUACCACUGUCCGGCUUGGGUGUCAUUUUUAUUUAGUUUUAUUUUUUGCUUAUUUCUUUUUUAACCGUAAAAUUACACAUUUCCCAAGUGCAGAAAAUAAGGAGCCACCAGACUCCAGCAGAAUGAAUGGUUCUAGUGCCGGAGCUGAAACAAGCAAGCAGCAUCUCCUUCUGCAGCCUCAGCUGGGGACAUGCAUGCUUGCAUCUCAGCUGGGGACAUGCAUGCUUGCAUGGACUUGGGUUCUUUUGGAAAUUCUGCACAUGUUUGCAAAAGACUACACAAUGCCGGAAGUAUCAAUUAGGGAGUUGUGGGCACAGCUUGGUGGGUAGAUGAACUUAUAAAUGCAUCUGCAGUCCUCAAAUAAAGAUGAAUAGUAACCCAGAGGCGUGGUAGUGCGCUCUUCAAACCCAGUGCUCAGAAGGUGCAAACAAAAGGACCGGGAGUCCAAGGCUAGCCUUGACUAGAAGGGGCCAUGUCUCAAAGAACAACAACCAAGAGCUGCUUAUGGAGGUCAGUCUGUGUUCUCAGGGGGACAGCAUCAGUCUAAGUUGGCGGUUGUUGUUGGCUGAGCAUGCACAAAUCCCUAACAGCACAUAAAGCAAGUUGUGUCACACACUCACAAUGCCCAGAUUCACUGGAUCUCGGUAGUGAGCUGAGGCUAGCCUGGGCUACAUAGACCCUGUCUCAGGAAAAAAAAAAAAAGAGGGUGUGGUGGCCUACACCUUUAAUUCCAGCCCUUGGGGAGACAGAAGGAAGCAUUAGGUUCUGUAAGUUUGGGGUCAGCCUGGUCUACAUAGUUAAUUCCAGGCCAACCAGGGCUAUACAGUGAGAGACUCUGUCCCCCAAACAAGACAGACCAUUAAUAAAUCAACUGUAGAUCCACAUGGGUGUCUGUCCCCCUGCUUCCUCGAGGUGUACUUAUGCCCUGGUCCUGUUUCCCACUGCCCAGGUUUAGCAAUGGGAAGACUGAUUGCCCUACCCAGUAGGGGGCUCCUACAUCUCUAACGGUGCCCAUACAUGCCAUUUGGCAAGUCUUUGCCUAGCUCCCCCAGUACGGUUAAGGAUGUCUGCAGCUGCCAUUGUCUGUAGGGAGGAGGGGUGAAGUAGCCCUGCCCUACCUCCUCCCCGUCCCCGCCUCCCCACUGCACCCAGGCCCUCUCCAUGGUGAACCAGACCUACUUAUGCAUAAAGAGGCAAGGAUGACUACAGCCCACAGCCACCUGUGACUUCCCUAGGCCAAGUGCUUCACCAACACCUGGGGAAGACCCUUGGCGGUUUGGGGGAGUCUGUUUGGGUUUGAUCUUUAUUUACCCCUCAGAGGAAGUAAAUAAAUAGCUCUUCAUGUGUCGGGGUGGAUGCGAGGAUGCCAGACUGUGUGCCUGCUGCACACCGUUAACAGCCGUGACCCAGCCCUAGAGGAAGUGGUAACGAAAGGAUUGCUUGCUUUCUUUUCCAUUCACCCUUACGGCUCCUUCCCGCCUCCACCUUUCUGUAUGAGCCAAGCGGCUUUUCUCUGUCAGCCUGGGAACCGAUUGUUAGUCUGUUGUGAGGUGGGGAGAACAGCGACUUUGCCCUGACUUGAAUUAGAACCCCGAGGUGUGCACUAACAAGAUGGCAGCCAGCUGCAAAGACGCUCCAGCCCUGUGGGACUCUGAGUCUCAACUGUGGAAGUCAAAUCGCAUCCACAGGACUUUUGUGGCCAUUAAACAGAAUAGAUGGUGAUUUGCGUACAUCCGCACUUGGUCCCUUUAACGUGGCAGUGGGCAGACCAUUGAAGCCUAAUGAUCUGAGAUCAAUCUCUAUAACCACCUAGAGUGGAAGGAGAGAACCCACCCCACAGAGCUGACCUUUGACCUCUCUGUGAGCACCACGACGUGUACUCCAUGGUGCACGUGUGUAUACACAAAAUAAUAAAAGAAACGUUGUGUUGUUUUUCCCUUAAAGAUAGCAGUAGGGCCAGAAGUGAUGGCACACACUUGCCAUCUCAGCACGUGGGAGGCAGAGGCAGGAGGACAGCUGUGAGUGCAAGACUAGCUUGUAGUAGUUCCAGGAUAGCCAGAGCUACAUUCCAAGACUUCAUCUCCAAAAAACAACUAGAGAAAGG
rnacentral:lncRNA from 1 species